rnacentral:rRNA from 1 species
UACACUCCUGCGGGAGGCAGCAGUGGGGAAUUUUGGACAAUGGGCGAAAGCCUGAUCCAGCAAUGCCGCGUGAGUGAAGAAGGCCUUCGGGUUGUAAAGCUCUUUUGUCAGGGAAGAAACGGUGAAAGCUAAUAUCUUUUGCUAAUGACGGUACCUGAAGAAUAAGCACCGGCUAACUACGUGCCAGCAGCCGCGGUAAUACGUAGGGUGCAAGCGUUAAUCGGAAUUACUGGGCGUAAAGCGUGCGCAGGCGGUUUUGUAAGUCUGAUGUGAAAUCCCCGGGCUCAACCUGGGAAUUGCAUUGGAGACUGCAAGGCUAGAAUCUGGCAGAGGGGGGUAGAAUUCCACGUGUAGCAGUGAAAUGCGUAGAUAUGUGGAGGAACACCGAUGGCGAAGGCAGCCCCCUGGGUCAAGAUUGACGCUCAUGCACGAAAGCGUGGGGAGCAAACAGGAUUAGAAACCCGAGUAGUCCCA